UACGUAGGGGGCAAGCGUUGUCCGGAAUCAUUGGGCGUAAAGAGCGUGUAGGCGGCUUGGUAAGUCCGCUGUGAAAGUCCAGGGCUCAACCCUGGAAUGCCGGUGGAAACUGUCAAGCUUGAGUCCGGAAGAGGCGAGUGGAAUUCCUGGUGGUAGCGGUGAAAUGCGCAGAUAUCAGGAGGAACACCAAUGGCGAAGGCAGCUCGCUGGGACGGUAACUGACGCU
rnacentral:rRNA from 1 species